GUUUCAGAGAGAAAAAGCAGGGAUCCAAAUUGCUCAAUCAACAUGGUCAGUCAUGGUAGUAUCCAUUUCGACUCCACUGACUUCUUCCUUCCUCUUCUGCGGCUGUUCUUCCUUUCUCAUUGCUCUCUCUGGGGACUUCCGUGCAGGACAUCCCCGGAUUAGGUGACGACGGUUAUGGAACAAAGACUCUGAGAGGCCAGGAGGACUGCAUCCUUUCUUAUGAACCUGUCACAAGGCAGGAAAUUAACUACACCAGACCAGUUAUCAUUCUGGGUCCUAUGAAAGAUCGGAUCAAUGAUGAUUUGAUAUCCGAAUUCCCUGAUAAGUUUGGGUCAUGUG